rnacentral:rRNA from 1 species
CAUGGAGAGUUUGAUCCUGGCUCAGGAUGAACGCUGGCGGUAUGCUUAACACAUGCAAGUCGAACGCCCCUUCGGGGGAGUGGCGGACGGGUGAGUAACGCGUGAGAAUCUGCCUUCGGGUCGGGGACAACCACCGGAAACAGUGGCUAAUACCGGAUGUGCCGAGAGGUAAAAGAUUUAUUGCCAGAAGAGGAGCUCGCGUCUGAUUAGCUAGUUGGUAGGGUAAAAGCCUACCAAGGCAACGAUCAGUAGCUGGUCUGAGAGGAUGAGCAGCCACACUGGGACUGAGACACGGCCCAGACUCCUACGGGAGGCAGCAGUGGGGAAUUUUCCGCAAUGGGCGAAAG